UACGAAGGGGGGCUAGCGUUGUUCGGAAUUACUGGGCGUAAAGCGCGUGUAGGCGGGUCUUUAAGUCAGGGGUGAAAUGCCAGGGCUCAACCUUGGAACUGCCUUCGAAACUGGCGAUCUUGAGUUCGGGAGAGGUGAGUGGAACUGCGAGUGUAGAGGUGAAAUUCGUAGAUAUUCGCAAGAACACCAGUGGCGAAGGCGGCUCACUGGCCCGAUACUGACGCUGAGGCACGAAAGCGUGGGGAGCAAACAGG
rnacentral:rRNA from 1 species